UUUGCUUUUAAACUGAGCUGCUGUGUGGUGUUGUUUGCUUCGGCUCUUGUUCAAAUGAGUGGUGUUGACUAUGCUCUCUAGUAGUCUUCAGUUUCUGUAUUCAAGAUUGUUACUGAUGAUUAUUCCAAAGAAAAAGAGAUGAACUCGUCCUCUGUCGAGAUGUCGAUCAACAAUUGUUCCUGAUGAUUGUGAAGAGCAAGUAGAUGAACUCGUGCCCUAUCGAAAUGUCGAUCAACAAUUGUUCCUGAAGAUUAUUCUAAAGAGAGCAAGUGAGAUUAUCUCGUAUCCUAUCGAGAUGCCGAUCAACAAUUGUUCCUGAUUAUCAUUGGAAAGAGAUGAACUCGUCCCCUAUAGAGAUGUGGAGGAGAGGCAAUAGGAUCUCCGGUUACCUUUUAAAUUUAAAUAAAAUGCUGGUAAUCCAGAGCAGUGAAGUAAAUAUUUCUGGACACCUCUAUAUAUAUGACUACAAACUUAAAAAUUUUUAAAUCUUGUGUAGUUCUACAAAUUUUAAAUAGAGAUCUUUGUAAAAAUACUGUAUUGAAUAGUUCAUAGUUACUUUUGUAAAUUGUAAAGCUACUGUA